ACUGAUAGACAUCAAUGUGAAAGACAAAGAAGACCAAAAUAAGACUGACCAUCAACAAAACUGUCAGUGCAACAAUAAAAAUAUGCAGGAAAAAGACUGGUCCCAGUUGGUAGAUAUAGACUUCAGACCUCCUGCACCAGGAUGUGAACGUAAGAUAAUAGUGAAGUUUCCUGACAUGGAAGUGUGCUUUGAUGUGACCACCUUUUCUGCCACUGCUUCUUGUCUUUUAAGUAAGGAUGAGGUGACUCCAUCUGGUCCUCCUAUUACAAC